rnacentral:rRNA from 1 species
GAUGAACGCUGGCGGCGUGCCUAAUACAUGCAAGUCGAGCGAACAGACGAGGAGCUUGCUCCUCUGACGUUAGCGGCGGACGGGUGAGUAACACGUGGAUAACCUACCUAUAAGACUGGGAUAACUUCGGGAAACCGGAGCUAAUACCGGAUAAUAUAUUGAACCGCAUGGUUCAAUAGUGAAAGACGGUUUUGCUGUCACUUAUAGAUGGAUCCGCGCCGCAUUAGCUAGUUGGUAAGGUAACGGCUUACCAAGGCAACGAUGCGUAGCCGACCUGAGAGGGUGAUCAGCCCAACGUGGAACGAGAACCGGGCCCAAACCCCAAGGGGGGGAAGCGUGGGGAAUAUUGCCGAAAGGGGCGAAAGCCUAACCGGGAAACCCCGGGUGGGGAAUAAAGUUUUUGGGUUCGAAAAACUUUUUUUUGAGGAAGAAAAAAAUGUGUAAAAUACUAUGCCCUUCUGGCGGGUACCAAAUAAAAAAGCCGCGGUAAACUACUG